UACGUAGGGUGCUAGCGUUGUUCGGAAUCACUGGGCGUAAAGGGCUCGUAGGCGGCCAACUAAGUCAGACGUGAAAUCCCUCGGCUUAACCGGGGAACUGCGUCUGAUACUGGAUGGCUUGAGGUUGGGAGAGGGAUGCGGAAUUCCAGGUGUAGCGGUGAAAUGCGUAGAUAUCUGGAGGAACACCGGUGGCGAAGGCGGCAUCCUGGACCAAUUCUGACGCUGAGGAGCGAAAGCCAGGGGAGCAAACGGG
rnacentral:rRNA from 1 species